GACGAACGCUGGCGGCGUGCCUAAUACAUGCAAGUCGAACGCUUCUUUCCCCCCGAGUGCUUGCACUCAAUUGGAAAGAGGAGUGGCGGACGGGUGAGUAACACGUGGGUAACCUACCCAUCAGAGGGGGAUAACACUUGGAAACAGGUGCUAAUACCGCAUAACAGUUUAUGCCGCAUGGCAUAAGAGUGAAAGGCGCUUUCGGGUGUCGCUGAUGGAUGGACCCGCGGUGCAUUCGCUAGUUGGUGAGGUAACGGCUCACCAAGGCCACGAUGCAUAGCCGACCUGAGAGGGUGAUCGGCCACACUGGGACUGAGACACGGCCCAGACUCCUACGGGAGGCAGCAGUAGGGAAUCUUCGGCAAUGGACGAAAGUCUGACCGAGCAACGCCGCGUGAGUGAAGAAGGUUUUCGGAUCGUAAAACUCUGUUGUUAGAGAAGAACAAGGACGUUAGUAACUGAACGUCCCCUGACGGUAUCUAACCAGAAAGCCACGGCUAACUACGUG
rnacentral:rRNA from 1 species